rnacentral:rRNA from 1 species
AUGGUUCUGCUUGAGACUCCCUCUGGUUUUGGCAUGUUCCUUGUUAAGGAUUUUGUAUUCAAAGAAGAAAAGAAUAAUAUCUGGGUGCUCUUCUCGGAUCCAGAAUAUGCAAUUCAGGCUCUAGUCGCGCUUGGUUUCAGAAAAGUUGAUGACAGAUCUAUUGCUCGGAAUCGUAAUAAGGGUCCUGGAAAGGACCUGAUGUCGCUUAUUAAGAAAUUCUGCAAGAAAGGAGAGGAAUUAAUUGUUCAAGAUAAGGAACUAAAAGCUUCUGUUGAGAAAAGGCUUAAGAUCACAUGUAUAUGUGAUGGAUAUACCGUUGGUGAGCUAAUGUGGGGGAUAAAGAAUGUUUUGCACAAAUUUAUUUACGAAGAAAGGUGCAAUACAACUCCGGAAUAUUGUCUCCCGGUGAGCGAGGGAUUGCAAGAGGCCUUACAAUAUUAUUUAGUCAAUAUCCCACCAACUAAGCUUGACAGAGCUUUCGUAUCCAACUUUGGUUUCUUGCGCUACCUUGACUUGAAUGUAGAGGCUUUUCCAAAAGAAUUAUCAAGGUCAUUUGAUGAGUAUGUUGGGAUUGGUGAGACUGUUAAAGAUAGUUUGGACUAUGUAAAAGUCCUUGCAUCGGUACUUGUCCCUGAGUUGGUGGAAAAAUAUGGUUUCUCCAAGACAUUUUCACCUGAAUUGGUGUCGAAGUUACAUCAGGCUAAAAUACAUCAAGCUGAACGUGGAGAUGACCUUACUAUGGAUGACAUAAAAAAGAUAAUGGGAGUCCUUGAUUAUCUCUUGAAUGUUCCUGAGCGAAGAAACAAGAUUCUUAUGGAUGUGAAGCUUAUGGAAGCAACAUUUUUCAGAUCACAUUUGUCAGAGCUCCGAAAGGCAGAGGAAACUGUGGAUUUCGAUAAUAUGGAAUUUAGGAGGGCGCUGCUCCAGACUCCCUCAGGUUUUGCUAUAUUUAAUGUUCGCGAGGAUGUGUUUACCAGUCCUCGAGAGAUUGUCUUUGCCCUUGGUUUUAUAAGAGUUGAUAAUUCUAUUGUCCGUGAUAGUGUUAUUGGUCCUGGUGGCAAACUGAGACAGCUCAUUCUAAGAUUCUGCAAGGCUAAUGAGGAAUUGGUUGUUCAAGACGCUGAGCUUAAAGCUGUUAUCGAGUCGAAACUAGGUGUCAAAUGCUGGACUGGUGAUGAAGCUGUGGAUGAGUUGUUUUGGGGUAUAAAGCAUUUCCUGUCUGAUUUUAUACCCGAAGAAAAAGAUAAGCUUACCGACGAGUAUUUUUCCCCAUUGAGCAAGCAAUUGCUAAGGGACUUGGAAACAUACAAGAUCAAUAUAUCCCCGAGUAAGAUCUGGAAUGGAUUCAUUCGGUGGAAAUGGCUGGCACUUCUAAAAUGA